UACGUAGGGUCCGAGCGUUGUCCGGAAUUACUGGGCGUAAAGAGCUCGUAGGUGGUUUGUCGCGUUGUUCGUGAAAACUCACAGCUUAACUGUGGGCGUGCGGGCGAUACGGGCAGACUUGAGUACUGCAGGGGAGACUGGAACUCCUGGUGUAGCGGUGGAAUGCGCAGAUAUCAGGAGGAACACCGGUGGCGAAGGCGGUUCUCUGGGCAUGUCCUGACGCUGAGGAGCGAAAGUGUGGGGAGCGAACAGG
rnacentral:rRNA from 1 species